rnacentral:lncRNA from 1 species
AUGAAUCAUGAUGUUAGAUGCUGCUACUAGAUGCCUACUACGUAUAUGCUAUUAGAUGGAUGGAUAGAUGUCUUUCUGUAUGAUGUUAGAUGGACGAAUGAUGAUGUUAACAUAUACUACAUGCUAUUAGAUGCUGCUAUUGUAGAAGUUUUUAUGAAUGAUGCUGUUAGAUGAACACAUGUUAUUCCUCUCUUUCUCCUGUCUUUGCUACUGUAUGAAUGAUGUUGUUCGAUG